UUUUUUAAUCGAAAUGCUUGAAGUUCUUUAGGCCAAGAAGUACUUUAGCUUAAGGUUUAAGGUAUGUACUCCACUUACUUCACUGUGUCUGAGGGAAAAAGGAGAAGACACCUGGAGGACCACUGUGGUGAGAAGGAAGGCCGCCUGGGGAUACUAGCUUCAAGGAAAAAGACGUGUCCUCUCACCAAGAGCCACCCACCCCACAAAGGACAAGCAGUGGUGAGGGCAGGAGUUUAGGAAAUUCCUGAGGCAGUGCUACCAAGUAAGAGCCACAAAGAGUGGAGGCAGGUCACAGGCAGGUCUCCUUAGUGGCUUCACACCUUGGCUUCCGGCCAUGAACUUGCUGCCUGGACCAGACAGGACCUUUUCCCUGCUGGGCUCAUGACAGCGAGUCUUUGGUCACUACCGAAGCCUCUAGGGAGUGUGGUGGGAGAGAGCUGUGAAGCCACAGUCCCCGCAGAGCCUUUCCCCAGAGGCCCCUGCUCCUGCAGGGCUGACAAGGGUCCCUGCAGCACCACCCAGCCAGGUCAGAGGACUCUCUCAGACCACUACAUAAUGGCCAGAUGGCAUCCACACAAACACCGGUUACCUGGUUUAAAAGCCAGGUAGGUUGUGUGUAUUGGCCAGGCCGCUGUGGGCAGUGUGGAAAUCAGUCUGUAAGUAGUUUUGUAAGCAUCUCCCUGCAAACCCUGGGAGGAAGGUCCUGUGAUGUUUUUAGGAAGCAAAUAUAAUACAAAUGUGAAUUCUUUUUUACUCAUUUAAAUAUGUAGAAUGGUAUUCUCUUUACUAGGGACUCCAAAGUGUUCAACCGGUAAUGGGUUUUGUUCAUUUUUGUUUUUGUCUUUUAGUUACAGAAUAUAACUAUUAGGGUAUGGUGGCCCUUGCCUAUCAUCCAAUGACUCAGGAGCCAAGGCAGGAGGAUGGCACAUUCCAGGCCAGC
rnacentral:lncRNA from 1 species